AGCGAACGCUGGCGGCGUGCUUAACACAUGCAAGUCGAACGUGAAAUGUAGCAACACAGAGUAAAGUGGCGAACGGGUGAGUAAUAUAUCGGAACGUACCCAGGAGUGGGGGAUAACGUAGCGAAAGUUACGCUAAUACCGCAUACGUCCUAAGGGAGAAAGCGGGGGAUCGCAAGACCCCGUGCUCAUGGAGCGUCCGAUAUCUGAUUAGCUAGUUGGUGGGGUAAAGGCUCACCAAGGCAACGAUCAGUAGCUGGUCUGAGAGGACGACCAGCCACACUGGAACUGAGACACGGUCCAGACUCCUACGGGAGGCAGCAGUGGGGAAUUUUGGACAAUGGGGGCAACCCUGAUCCAGCAAUGCCGCGUGAGUGAAGAAGGCCUUCGGGUUGUAAAGCUCUUUUGUCAGGGAAGAAACGACUCCUUCUAAUACAGGGGGUUAAUGACGGUACCUGAAGAAUAAGCACCGGCUAACUACGUGCCAGCCGCCGCAGUAA
rnacentral:rRNA from 1 species